UCCAAACCCGCAAACCCUGGGUGCGUGAAUCCAACCACUACACCACCUGGCUGGCCCUGUUUCUUAUCUUUUUAUCCCCAUGUCUGACCCAGGAGCUGUCACACAGAAUUCAAAUUAACAAACUUUUAUUGACUGUCUCCUGUGUGCCAGUAAUUGGAACUAGGAAUAAAGAGAUGAUCAAGACUGGGUCCUGCCUUGAGGCUACUCACCGCCUGGGAAGGGUGGCACGUGUGCGAGUAAGUAAAAUGCAGUGUGAUAAACGCAAUGAGCAGUUAUGCCCAAAUAAGGCAGCUCCAAAGAGGUGACGUGCCAGCUGGCUCUAGAGGAGAGGAGAAGGCAAAGGGUUGUUGUAAGAAAGAAAGUGCGUUUUAGGCAAAUCUGACUCAUUGUAGGAGAUCAGUAUGUAUCUGCUGAAUGAAGGCAGGCGUGACUGGAGAACACACACAUAGACCUAGAGGAGUGUGCAAACUCAGCGGGGCAGGUAGACAGUGUAGAGAGAAGUCGUUCAUCGUUUGCAGGACGUUUUGCACAUAGCAAAUGCCAAGAAAGCGAGCCUUGGCCUCGGAUGCGUUAUUGCUGCGGAAGUUGCCGCAAGUGGGCUGUUUCAUUUCCAUGCACGCUGUCCUGGUGGAGAAGUAGUGAGCUAGUUACUUUGGUUGGCCCAUCAACAAAGAGGCGUCAAAGGAGCUGUCGAGAAUACCUUAUGUGGAAAUACUUUUUUCAUAGGAGCAAAUAUGGAGCAAUAUAAAAGUUCUGUCCCUAUCGUGCGCCGUCCUUCCCCAGAUGAGACAAAUGCCACCCAGAUCUCAACUAUAAAAGGCUUCUGCGCUGAACCAGGCUGUUUGAUUUGGCCAGCAAGCCAGGAUUCCUCUCCACAGAGCGAGACACACAUGACUACAUGCAGAGAAAUGAGCUCCUUUUUUGUUCAUAGAGAAAACAGCCUUCAUUUUUCCCUAGUGCCAUAGAAACUGAAAGGCUUGAGCAUGUUUUUAUAUGCAAACAUAUCCCC